GCUGUGGAUAGCUCAGACAGUAGAGAAUGAGACUCGAAAUCCCAAUGUCAUGAGUUCGAGUCUCACGAUGAGUG